GGACGCGAUCAUACCAGCACUAAAGCACCGGAUCCUAUAGUUAAGCGUGCUUGGGCGAGAGUAGUACUAGGAUGGGUGAUCUCCUGGGAAGUCUUCGUGUUGCAUUCC
rfam:Triticum aestivum genome assembly, contig: Triticum_aestivum_CS42_TGACv1_scaffold_393665_5AS